UCAUAACUCAAUAAUAUGUAAAGUCUCAGUAUCGAUUUGAACAAUAUUCUGUUAAAAAAGUUAAUCAUGUAUGGACUAUCCUGACCAUCCAUUUAAUAACAU